UACGUAGGGGGCUAGCGUUGUCCGGAAUCAUUGGGCGUAAAGCGCGUGUAGGCGGUCCGGUAAGUCCGCUGUGAAAGUCGGGGGCUCAACCCUCGGAUGCCGGUGGAUACUGUCGGGCUUGAGUACGGAAGAGGCGAGUGGAAUUCCUGGUGUAGCGGUGAAAUGCGCAGAUAUCAGGAGGAACACCAAUUGCGAAGGCAGCUCGCUGGGACGUUACUGACGCUGAGACGCGAAAGCGUUGGGAGCAAACAGG
rnacentral:rRNA from 1 species